rnacentral:rRNA from 1 species
AGAGUUUGAUCCUGGCUCAGAGUGAACGCUGGCGGCAGGCCUAACACAUGCAAGUCGAGCGGCAGCGCGGGGGCAACCCUGGCGGCGAGCGGCGGACGGGUGAGGAACACAUCGGAAUCUACCUUGUCGUGGGGGAUAACGUAGGGAAACUUACGCUAAUACCGCAUACGACCUACGGGUGAAAGCGGCGGACCGCAAGGCGUCGCGCGAUUGGAUGAGCCGAUGUCCGAUUAGCUAGUUGGCGGGGUAAAGGCCCACCAAGGCGACGAUCGGUAGCUGGUCUGAGAGGACGACCAGCCACACUGGAACUGAGACACGGUCCAGACUCCUACGGGGGGCAGCAGUGGGGAAUAUUGGACAAUGGGCGCAAGCCUGAUCCAGCCAUGCCGCGUGGGUGAAGAAGGCCUUCGGGUUGUAAAGCCCUUUUGUCCGGAAAGAAAAGCAUUCGGUUAAUACCCGGGUGUGAUGACGGUACCGGAAGAAUAAGCACCGGCUAACUCCGUGCCAGCAGCCGCGGUAAUAC